GACACUAUGGCCGAGUGGUCUAAGGCGAUUGACUCGAAAUCAAUUCUCUUCGGGGGCGUCGUAAGUGGACCUGAUUAUCAAAGGACGCUCAAAACUUUUGCUAACAUACGUCAAAGGGUUCGAAUCCGACUGGUGUCG